UCAACUUCUUCGACUUCAAAGCUCGACCAACCCCAGUUAUCGGAGUAACACGAAGAAACACAUGGUCUCCCUCUUGAAACUCAAGUGACUUCCUCCUCUUGUCGUGAUAACUCUUCUGACGACUCUGAGCAAUCCUCAUCUUCUCCUGAAUCAUCUUAAUCUUUUCCGUAGUUUGUUGAACAAUCUCCGGUCCAACCACAGCACUCU
rnacentral:lncRNA from 1 species